ACAUAACUGAUGCCUCCGCGUAUCGACUUUGUGCGCAUUUUAGCUAUUAUGUGUUCUUUUAAUUAAAAUGAUUCUUUUUAAGAUUCAUCUAUUAAAAAUUUGCCUCGGCAUAAUUUUUUUUGAUGAUCUUGUUACUUUGAGUAAAUUAGAGUGUUCAAAGCAAACAGAUAUAGCAUUUGUGCGUUUGAAUACUACAGCAUGGAAUAACAAAAUUGAACAAGUCAGAAUUUUUUUGUUCUUUUUUCUUAUUUUGGCUUAGUUACGAUUAAUAGGAGUAGCUUGGGGGCGUUUGUAUUCAGAUGUCAGAGGUGAAAUUCUUAGAUUUUCUGGAGACAAACAACUGCGAAAGCAUUUGCCUAAAAUACUUCCAUUAAUCAAGAACGAAAGUUAAGGGAGUGAAGACGAUCAGAUACCGUCGUAAUCUUAACCAUAAACUAUACCGACUAGGUUUUGGAUGAAAGAUUUUAAAAUAAGAGUUUUUCUUUUCUCUCCGGAGAUUAGAACUCUUAGAUUGCUUCCUUCAGUGCCUUAUGAGAAAUCAAAGUCUUUGGGUUCUGGGGCGAGUAUUCGCGCAAGCGAGAAAGUUAAAAGAAUUGACGGAAGGGCACCACCAGGCGUGGAGCUUGCGGCUUAAUUUGACUCAACACGGGAAAACUCACUAGUUUAAGACAAGAGUAGGAUUGACAGAUUAAUAGCUCUUUCUUGAUUUCUUGGAUGGUGAUGCAUGGCCGUUUUUAGUUCGUGAAUAUGAUUUGUCUGGUUAAUUCCGAUAACGAACGAGAUCUUAACCUGCUAAUUAGCGGCAAAUACGAUAUAUUCUUAUGUAGAAUUGAAUAUAGUGGAUUUGUUAGAUUUUGAAGAAAAUAUUGGAAUUACGUUAAAUGUGAUUCCUUUCCCUUUUCUACUUAAUUUACAUUUCCAUCUAUUUCUUUUUUGCGUAUGAAUGUAUUUGCUUGAUUGUAGAGCUUCUUAGAGGAACGAUGUGUG
rnacentral:rRNA from 1 species